rnacentral:misc_RNA from 1 species
GAAAUGCGAUAAGUAGUGUGAAUUGCAGAAUUCAGUGAAUCAUCGAAUCUUUGAACGCACAUUGCGCCCUUUGGUAUUCCUUAGGGCAUGCCUGUUCGAGCGUCAUUUAAACCUUCAAGCCCUGCUUGGUGUUGGGUGCCUGUCCCGCCCCCGCGCGUGGACUCACCUCAAAUCCAUUGGCGGCCCCCGCAUGGCCACGAGCGCAGCAGAAACGCAAACUCGUGUGCCGGACCGGGCGGCUCACAGAAGCUACACUCACCAUUUUGACCUCGGAUCAGGUAGGGAUACCCGCUGAACUUAAGC